CUAAAUGUUAAGUGAAAUGAUAUAGUGAGGGCGGCACGUUAUGGGACGAAGACCAAAAAGAACACGUACCACUGGGUGGAUGGAGAUAUCGACCCUUUGUCAACAGGCAGCUGCUCCAGAGAGUUAUCUUGGUUAAGUUUCAGUGCAGCAAUGAGCUUGGUAUAAGAAGACUCCUGCACCCACACAGAGCCUCUGCUGAAGUGAAGAACUUACAGUCAAAUCAUGGAGGCUCCAAUAAGGUGGAUCACAGGGUUGUAAACUGAUGCAACAUAUUAAUUUGCUCCUAUUUGCCAUCUGGAAUAUAGUCUGCAAAAGAAUAAAAGGCAAAAUUCCUGUUGUACCCA